rnacentral:rRNA from 1 species
CCUACGGGUGGCAGCAGUGAGGAAUAUUGGUCAAUGGGCGCGAGCCUGAACCAGCCAAGUAGCGUGAAGGAUGACUGCCCUACGGGUUGUAAACUUCUUUUAUAAAGGAGUAAAGUGAGGCACGUGUGCCUUUUUGUAUGUACUUUAUGAAUAAGGAACGGCUAACUCCGUUCCAGCAGCCGCGGUAAUACGGAGGAUCCGAGCGUUAUCCGGAUUUAUUGGGUUUAAAGGGAGCGUAGAUGGGUUGUUAAGUCAGUUGUGAAAGUUUGGGGCUCAACCGUGAAAUUGCAAUUGAUACUGGCAGCCUUGAGUGCAGGUGAGGUAGGCGGAAUUCGUGGUGUAGCGGUGAAAUGCUUAGAGAUCACGAAGAACUCCGAUUGCGAAGGCAGCUUACUAAACUGCCACUGACGUUGAUGCUCGAAAGUGUGGGUAUCAAACAGGAUUAGAUACCCUUGUAGUC